UGCUUUGCGCAGUGGCAGUAUCGUAGCCAAUGAGGUUAAUCCGAGGCGCGAUUAUUGCUAAUUGAAAACUUUUCUAUACAUUUUCAAUCUCCCACUGAGUAUUUUAAGUAAUGUAUUGGCACUGUCGCUUCAG
rnacentral:snRNA from 1 species